UGACAACGUGCAAACAUGAGGAUGGGGAGACGAUUGUGAAGGCUUUUCAGCCAUUGAAGCUCUGAACUAAGCUGAUUUAAGCGGUUGUCGCAAAGAAGGAAUCAGGAUGAAAUUCGAACCGUAGAAGGAGGAUAUGGCUUCGGGAUAUAGUAGGUAUUAACAGAAAAGAUGGAAAAAUUUCA